rnacentral:misc_RNA from 1 species
GCCAAGACUAUAUCCCGAAAAAGUCAAUUGCGAACGUGCAAUUCGGUAGUCGAUCAUUGCAGCGUCUUGUACGUAGAUCCAUCGUUUCCGAAGCAACGGCAGUCUGGCCUCAGCAGCCGAAGCGACGUGGUCAUCGGGAGCGACAUCGGUGGUAGCGCGUACAUUCUUUGAGAAGAGAAAGAAGAAGCUAGCGAGGAGAGAGAGACAUAUUUUUGGGGUCUUUCGUCUUGGAUUCGACGGCAGUUCGGCUUCGGCGACAGAAGCGGCGACAUCGGGAGCGACAUCAGUAGCAAAGCGGGUUCCUUAGAGCGACGAUGGAGAGAGAGAGAACG